rnacentral:Y_RNA from 1 species
GGCUGGUCCAAAGGUAGUGAUUUAUCUCAGUUGAUUGUUCACAGUCAGUUACAGAUCGAACUCCUUGUUCUACUCUUUCCCCACUUAUCACUGCUGCACUUGACUAGUCUUAA